UGUGUCGGUGCCACAGACUGAGUCACGUGGACAAGGAGCGGGUGUGCAUGCUGGGGUGGUGUCGGCGGCUGGCGUCCUUGCAGCCAGCCCAGCUAGAGUAAGUGGAAGAGAGGACAGAAGGUGAGAUGGAUGCAGAGGCGGCCAACUGUAAAGGGGAGCUGAAAAGGUCAGUCGCCGGAGGGGAUGUGAAGCUGGCAGUAGGAGACUGCUAGGCGCCAGGAACCAAGGCUCAAGCUUAGGUCUAAGCAUGAACUGGAGCAGGAACGCUUCGCCCUUUGGAAUGUGUGUGGACAAGAAUGUGAGCAGAAAGUUUGCCGACCCCUGCUCCAGGUUAGAGAAGAGCAACAAGAGACGGGGUUUUGCCAUGUUGCCAGGCUGGUCUUGAA
rnacentral:lncRNA from 1 species